UCUUCUAGUUCAUAUUCCCUUUUAGAUUUCAUUUUAUUUGUGGGUUACUUUUUAUUUCAAGGUUCAGAUCUCCCUUCUAGUUUUGUUGAAAAUAUUUCUACUGGUACUAAGUGACUGCCUUUUAGUACUGCCUUGACUAGUGACAUUGCAGAGGAUUAGCACUUCAUUUGGUUGAUUGGAUUCUCUGCAAUUCAUUCUGGGAGAUGGAAAAUGAGGGUUGGAUUAUAAUAAUUUGAGAUGCAGCAGCUCCUUUGAUAGAGUUAGCUAGAGGUCUAGUGGCAACCCAAACACAAGUUGUAGAACUAUUCAAGUAAGAAUGAAACAAACGUAGAAGCAUUUCAAGCAGAUGGAUUAGAAGUCAUACUACCAAUAAUUGUUCAUGAUGAUGAAUUAAAUAAUGAAAGAGACUUUGAAAUUCACUAUGAAGAAGUAGAUAUGUUGAUUGAUAACAUGGUUUAUGAUGAUGAUGAUGAUGAUGAU